rnacentral:hammerhead_ribozyme from 1 species
AUCCAGCUGACGUGUCCCAAUUGGGACGAAACACACGUUCUGCAU